rnacentral:lncRNA from 1 species
AUGUGCUCAUACACGUCUGCACCCAGCCUGCGGCGACUUGCUCGCUGGCAGGAAGGCGGGCCCGCUUGUCCUGGUUGCAAUCCCAGGAGUUCUCCAGAAGGGUCUGCUCCCUGCUGGCUGGCGCAGAGCCGGGCUGCAGACCCCCUGGGUGCAGGGCCAUUGGGCUGCAGGUGUGGCGGCUUUCAGACGCACCUGUGCUGGGGGCUGGGGGUGGAGCCCUGCUCCAAGGAGGGGGCAGAGUCCAGCCGGGCGUGGGCUGGAGGCCAGGGCUGGGCUCUGUCCAGUAGUUGGCUCCUCCCAGCCAAAGCAAUGCCUUCCCACCCCCACUUUCCAGAUGGAGAAACUGAGGCCGAGAGGUCAGGGGACUUUUCCAAAGUCACACAGCAAGGUGGAGGCAGCACAGCAGAUUCACGGUGGACUCGGAGAGCCCUUGGAGACCUGAACCUUCCUUUCCUGAGAGCCCGGCCCACAGCGAUGCAGACGGGACCAAGGGAAACGGGAGAAGUGAAGUGACCUCCGCUGGCAGAGGUGUGAUCUGACGUGUAGGAAAUCCUGAGGCUUCCAGCUGAGUGGCAGGACACGAAGCAAGCAAGGAAGUCAACUUUGUUUCUACUGACUAACAGCAGAGAAACUGAGGAGGAAAUUAGGAAGUCAAUUCCAUUCUGUCUCUCUCUUUUCUUUUUCUACACUGUGAGUCCGAAGCAUUUGCACCCCUGCCAAGUUCCCAGGGAUGUGCUGUGGGCGGCUGGGCGCGGAGACCAGCCCCAUCUUCAGCGGCAUGAGGAAUGAUGAAAUGCUCGGGAACUACCUGACCAGGGAAGAGAGAAGGCUGCACUGUGGAAGCCACAGACCGCUGCAGGAAGAAGUGAAGACAGGCGGGGCGGCCCGCACCCCGCUCGGACACAGGGGGCCCCCUCCUCCACAAAGUGGACCUGCAGUCACCACAGCCCCUGCCCAAGUCCCCGUGACGUGACUGAUUUUGUUUUGUUCUGUCUGCAGAAAUAGAAAUGUUCAGAAGUGCUCAGACGCUUGGUCGUGUCCGACUCUCCGAGACCCCACGGACUGCAGCCCGCCAGGCUCCUCUGUCUAUGGGAUUUCCCAGGCAAGAAUAUUGGAGUGGAUUGCCAUUUCCUUCUCCACGAUCCAUCCAUGUCUCUUGUGUCUCUUGCAUUGGCAGGCAGAUUCUUUUACCACUAUGGCACCUGUGAAGCCCCCAGAAGUAGAAAUAUCCACCCUAAACGUCACAUGGGGCCUCAGGGACGCAGUCCCAGGAAUUCAUCCUCGGGGCAGAGAUGAUGCCUCCCCGAAGCCUGGCCAGCAGAGACUGUGGGAGGGGUGGGGGUGCAGGGGCACAGGGCCAAAUGAGGAGGGGGCCAGACGGCAGAGGAGCCGGGCCGAGACCGGGUGCAGCGUGCCCACUCAGCCCGGCCUCGCUACUCGGGGGCGGGCGCUCUGCCCACGCCCUGCAGGUGCCCACGCCCCUCCUGGAGUCCCGCCUGCACCCCAUCUCAACCUGGGAGAGUGGAGCCCGGCCACC